CCUACGGGGGGCAGCAGUGGGGAAUAUUGCGCAAUGGGCGAAAGCCUGACGCAGCGACGCCGCGUGAGGGAUGAAGGUCUUCGGAUCGUAAACCUCUGUCAGCAGGGAAGAACGGUCACUGUGCUAAUCAGCAGUGAAUUGACGGUACCUGCAAAGGAAGCACCGGCUAACACCGUGCCAGCAGCCGCGGUAAUACGGGGGGUGCGCGCGUUAAUCGGAAUUUCUGGGAGUAAAGCGCUCGUAGGCGGUAUGUCAAGGCAAGGGGGAAAUCCCCGGGCUCAACGUGGGAACUGCCGUUGAAACUGGCAAACUGGAGUGUGUGAGAGGAUAGUGGAAUUCCAGGUGUAGGAGUGAAAUCCGUAGAUAUCUGGAGGAACAUCAGUGGCGAAGGCGACUAUCUGGCACAUAACUGACGCUGAGGAGCGAAAGCGUGGGUAGCAAACAGGAUUAGAUACCCCUGUAGUC
rnacentral:rRNA from 1 species